rnacentral:rRNA from 1 species
GAUGAACGCUGGCGGCGUGCCUAAUACAUGCAAGUCGAGCGAACGGACGAGAAGCUUGCUUCUCUGAUGUUAGCGGCGGACGGGUGAGUAACACGUGGAUAACCUACCUAUAAGACUGGGAUAACUUCGGGAAACCGGAGCUAAUACCGGAUAAUAUUUUGAACCGCAUGGUUCAAAAGUGAAAGACGGUCUUGCUGUCACUUAUAGAUGGAUCCGCGCUGCAUUAGCUAGUUGGUAAGGUAACGGCUUACCAAGGCAACGAUGCAUAGCCGACCUGAGAGGGGGAUCGGCCACACUGGAACUGAGACACGGUCAAGACUCCUACGGGAGGCAGCAGUGGGGAAUCUUCCGAAAUGGGCGAAAGCCUGACGGAGCAACGCCGGGUGAGUGAUGAGGUCUUCGGAUCGUAAAACUCUGUUAUUAGGGAAGAACAUAUGUGUAAGUAACUGUGCACAUCUUGACGGUACCUAAUCAGAAAGCCACGGCUAACUACGUG